rnacentral:SRP_RNA from 1 species
GGAGUUGAAUUUAGGCAUUAUGUUCGCUAACCCGGUCAGAACUGAAAGGUAGCAGCCGUAACGAAUUCUAGUGGGUUAAAUCUCAACUCCUUC